AGUUUGAUCCUGGCUCAGGAUGAACGCUAGCUACAGGCUUAACACAUGCAAGUCGAGGGGCAGCAUUGGGGUAGCAAUACUUCAGAUGGCGACCGGCGCACGGGUGAGUAACACGUAUCCAACCUGCCGCUUACUCGGGGAUAGCCUUUCGAAAGAAAGAUUAAUACCCGAUGGUAUAAAGAGUUCGCAUGUUCUCUUUAUUAAAGAAUUUCGGUAAGCGAUGGGGAUGCGUUCCAUUAGAUUGUUGGCGGGGUAACGGCCCACCAAGUCUACGAUGGAUAGGGGUUCUGAGAGGAAGGUCCCCCACAUUGGAACUGAGACACGGUCCAAACUCCUACGGGAGGCAGCAGUGAGGAAUAUUGGUCAAUGGACGCGAGUCUGAACCAGCCAAGUAGCGUGAAGGAUGACUGCCCUAUGGGUUGUAAACUUCUUUUAUAAGGGAAUAAAGUGAGGGACGUGUCCCUUUUUGUAUGUACCUUAUGAAUAAGGAUCGGCUAACUCCGUGCCAGCAGCCGCGGUAAUACGGAGGAUCCAAGCGUUAUCCGGAUUUAUUGGGUUUAAAGGGAGCGUAGGUUGACGUAUAAGUCAGCUGUGAAAGUUAACGGCUCAACCGUGAAAUUGCAGUUGAUACUGUAUGUCUUGAGUGUACAAGAGGUGGGCGGAAUUCGUGGUGUAGCGGUGAAAUGCUUAGAUAUCACGAAGAACUCCAAUUGCGAAGGCAGCUCACUGGGGUACAACUGACACUGAGGCUCGAAAGUGUGGGUAUCAAACAGGAUUAGAUACCCUGGUAGUCCACACAGUAAACGAUGAAUACUCGCUGUUUGCGAUAUACAGUAAGCGGCCAAGCGAAAGCAUUAAGUAUUCCACCUGGGGAGCACGCCGGCAACGGUGAAACUCAAAGGAAUUGACGGGGGCCCGCACAAGCGGAGGAACAUGUGGUUUAAUUCGAUGAUACGCGAGGAACCUUACCCGGGCUUGAAUUGCAGAGGAACAUAGUUGAAAGAUUAUGGCCGCAAGGUCUCUGUGAAGGUGCUGCAUGGUUGUCGUCAGCUCGUGCCGUGAGGUGUCGGCUUAAGUGCCAUAACGAGCGCAACCCUUAUCAUUAGUUACUAACAGGUCAUGCUGAGGACUCUAGUGAGACUGCCGUCGUAAGAUGUGAGGAAGGUGG
rnacentral:rRNA from 1 species